UCCGGUUUGACACCGGCAGUCCCGCUAGAGUCCUCAGCAUUACCUGGUAGCAACUAGCGGCAAGGGUUUCGCUCGUUAAGGGACUUAACCCGACACUUCACAGCACGAGCUGACGACAGCCAUGCAGCACCUGUGUACGUUCCACCAAAGGCGUCACUCCCUUUUCGGGGAGCUAAUCCGUACAUGUCAAGCCCUGGAUAAGGUUCUUCGCGUUGCUUCGAAUUAAGCCACAUGCUCCACCGCUUGUGUGAGCCCCCGUCAAUUCCUUUGAGUUUUAGCCUUGCGACCGUACUCCCCAGGCGGUGUACUUAAUACUUUUGCUCCGACCGAGACGGCGUCAAAACCACCUCGAUCUAGUACACAUCGUUUAGGGCGUGGACUAC
rnacentral:misc_RNA from 1 species